AACGUCGGGCCAUACCACGUUGAAAGCACCAGUUCUCGUUCGAUCACUGAAGUUAAGCAACGUCGGACUCGGUUAGUACUUGGAUGGGUGACCGCCUGGGAACACCGAGUGCUGUAGAUG
rnacentral:rRNA from 1 species